rnacentral:sRNA from 1 species
ACAGAGCAGGCUGCCUUUGAACUCACAGAGAUCCACCUGCCCCUGCCUCCGGAGUACUGGAGUUAAAAGUAUGUACCACCCCUGCUAGCUGAACUUGCACUUUCUGGUCCAACCAGCUAGAAUGCUCUCACUUCCGUGAGUACUCUCCCAUUUGGUCUUUAGACAAGGAAAGGAGACAUGCUUUCUAUCCACCAUUGCCGGGGUCAUUGCAUCCUUGGUCACUUACUAACCCCACUCUCAUCCCAACAGACUCAUCCGACCCACUUCUUGUUACUUCAUGGCUGGCGAGUAGCCAGGCUGACCAAUUGUAGGACUUUGGAACUCAAGUGUCCAGUGUUGAGCCACUCCGCCCCUCAGCUAGUGGAAGAGAAAAGAGACUCUCACAAUGGGGUUAUAUGACUAACCAGAAAGACCGAGAUCCAGUUUCUAGUCCUCAGGGACACCCCAUCUAUACCAUCAACUUGGUGUCACCAAGAGGCUCUUUCUAAAACCUGUGUCGGAUGAAUCAAAGGCUUAAAGACAGCCCAGGAUUCGGAGAGGGAUGAUGGAUGGAGAUGGGAGGAGACUAAAAAUCUCCCAUUUCCUAAUGGACAAGUCAGACGCUGAAAGCUGGAAGGAAUUGAAUCAAGAUGGAGAAUUGUGCUAUUUGGAAAGUCCGUGUGACAGCGUGGUCGCAUGCGCCCAGCACUUGAAAGCUUGAGAUGGGAGGAUGUUGUCUUUGAGGCCAGCCUGGGCUACAGUACGAGACUGUCUCAACAACUGAAACAGAACAAAAGAAUUCAAACAAACAAAAUCAGAAACAAAAUUGGGGCUUAUGGUCCUCUUUUUUUUUUUUUUGAGGAAACACCAGUAUUUUGCACUGAGGACAUAGUCAUUUAUACUCCACUUACACCAUAUGCAGCCUCUGGGGAUCCUUGCCAGCAGCACUUCAUUUCUUAUGUAAAACCUUCUUAGACACAGGGUCUCGCGCAUUCCAGUUAACCCUACAUUUAUGCUAUAGCUGGGGAUGACCUUGGAUUUCUGAUCCUUCUGCUUCCAACAUCCAAAGCCUGGCAUCACAGACUUUGUAAUGACCAUGCCUGGUUUGGGAGGUGUGUAGGCUGGGCAAGCAUCUACCAACUGGGCAAGCAUCUACCAACUGAAUUACAUCCCCAGCCCUAUUUCUUUUUUAUUUCUCUCGCCCUCCCUCCUUCCUUCUCGCCUACCUUUAGUGUAUGUGCAUGAUGUGUGUAUGGAGCAUCCGUGUGCCUGUGCAUGUAUUUGCAAAGGUCAGAAGAGGAUGUUAUGUGCUCUGUUCUGUUGUUCCCUUGAGACAGGAUCGCUCACCAAAGCUGUUGCUAGGGUGGUGCCAGCAACCCCCAAAGAUCUUCCUCUUUCCACCUCCCUCCCAGAACUGGGGUUGCAGGUGUGAAACUAUGUCUAGUUGUUUUAUGUGGGUCAUGACAACUUGUUUUCUCUGAACCAUCUCCCCAAUACCUCCCUGUCUCGUCUUGAAAAAACUGUAACCAUGCCAGUGGCUGGGAGGUGGAAUCUCUUUGUGAGUUUUUAUGCUUUUAAAAAUAAUUUUAUUUAUUUAUUAUAUGUGUGUAGGGGUGAGUGUGGGUUCUUGUUCUGAGGUCAACGGACAGCUUUGUAAAGUUACUUCUCUCUUUCCACCUUCAUGCAGGCUCUGGGGAUUGAACUCAAGUCAUCAGCCUUGCACACACACACCUUUACCCACUGAGCCCUAUCACCAGCUCUCUCCUUACAGUUUUGAUUGGCAUUUUAUAAAUAGCUAAUUAUGCUAAGCAUCCUUUCGUGUGUUCGUUGACCAUUUAUGAAUGAUCUUUUGAGAAAUGACUAUUUAAGAUUCUGGUCCAGUCAGGGGCGGUGGUGCAUGCCUUUAGUCCCAGCACUUAGGAGUUAGAGGCAGGCAGAUCUCUGUGAGUUCUAGGCCA